rnacentral:rRNA from 1 species
CACUGCGCCGAAAAUGUACCGGGGCUAAACAUAUUACCGAAGCUGUGGAUUGUCCUUUGGACAAUGGUAGGAGAGCGUUCUAAGGGCGUUGAAGCAUGAUCGUAAGGACAUGUGGAGCGCUUAGAAGUGAGAAUGCCGGUGUGAGUAGCGAAAGACGGGUGAGAAUCCCGUCCACCGAUUGACUAAGGUUUCCAGAGGAAGGCUCGUCCGCUCUGGGUUAGUCGGGUCCUAAGCUGAGGCCGACAGGCGUAGGCGAUGGAUAACAGGUUGAUAUUCCUGUACCACCUAUAAUCGUUUUAAUCGAUGGGGGGACGCAGUAGGAUAGGCGAAGCGUGCGAUUGGAUUGCACGUCUAAGCAGUAAGGCUGAGUAUUAGGCAAAUCCGGUACUCGUUAAGGCUGAGCUGUGAUGGGGAGAAGACAUUGUGUCUUCGAGUCGUUGAUUUCACACUGCCGAGAAAAGCCUCUAGAUAGAAAAUAGGUGCCCGUACCGCAAACCGACACAGGUAGUCAAGAUGAGAAUUCUAAGGUGAGCGAGCGAACUCUCGUUAAGGAACUCGGCAAAAUGACCCCGUAACUUCGGGAGAAGGGGUGCUCUUUAGGGUUAACGCCCAGAAGAGCCGCAGUGAAUAGGCCCAAGCGACUGUUUAUCAAAAACACAGGUCUCUGCUAAACCGUAAGGUGAUGUAUAGGGGCUGACGCCUGCCCGGUGCUGGAAGGUUAAGAGGAGUGGUUAGCUUCUGCGAAGCUACGAAUCGAAGCCCCAGUAAACGGCGGCCGUAACUAUAACGGUCCUAAGGUAGCGAAAUUCCUUGUCGGGUAAGUUCCGACCCGCACGAAAGGCGUAACGAUUUGGGCACUGUCUCAACGAGAGACUCGGUGAAAUCAUAGUACCUGUGAAGAUGCAGGUUACCCGCGACAGGACGGAAAGACCCCGUGGAGCUUUACUGUAGCCUGAUAUUGAAAUUCGGCACAGCUUGUACAGGAUAGGUAGGAGCCUUUGAAACGUGAGCGCUAGCUUACGUGGAGGCGCUGGUGGGAUACUACCCUAGCUGUGUUGGCUUUCUAACCCGCACCACUUAUCGUGGUGGGAGACAGUGUCA